rnacentral:misc_RNA from 1 species
GUGAAACCCUAGCGACUCUUGCCCCGGCGGCGGCGGCGGCGGCAGCAAAGGCGAAGAUGAUCUACGACGUGAACUCCCCUCUCUUCCGCUCCUUCCUCAGCCAGAAGGGCGGCGCCUCCUCCGACAAGAGGAAAAUGGAAGAGCAAAAGCCAAAGGAGCAGAGGCCCAAGGCCAGUGAGAACAAGCCUGUGAUGAAUGAAUGAAGGCUUUCUGAUGUGUUUGGUCCUUACAAGGAAUAGGCUUCAAUCAUGUGAUUCCUAG